rnacentral:rRNA from 1 species
CUCAUGACGAACGCUGGCGGCGUGCCUAAUACAUGCAAGUAGAACGCUGAAGAGAGGAGCUUGCUCUUCUUGGAUGAGUUGCGAACGGGUGAGUAACGCGUAGGUAACCUGCCUUGUAGCGGGGGAUAACUAUUGGAAACGAUAGCUAAUACCGCAUAACAAUAGGUGACACAUGUCAUUUAUUUGAAAGGGGCAAUUGCUCCACUACAAGAUGGACCUGCGUUGUAUUAGCUAGUAGGUGAGGUAACGGCUCACCUAGGCGACGAUACAUAGCCGACCUGAGAGGGUGAUCGGCCACACUGGGACUGAGACACGGCCCAGACUCCUACGGGAGGCAGCAGUAGGGAAUCUUCGGCAAUGGGGGCAACCCUGACCGAGCAACGCCGCGUGAGUGAAGAAGGUUUUCGGAUCGUAAAGCUCUGUUGUAAGUCAAGAACGAGUGUGAGAGUGGAAAGUUCACACUGUGACGGUAGCUUACCAGAAAGGGACGGCUAACUACGUGCCAGCAGCCGCGGUAAUACGUAGGUCCCGAGCGUUGUCCGGAUUUAUUGGGCGUAAAGCGAGCGCAGGCGGUUUGAUAAGUCUGAAGUUAAAGGCUGUGGCUCAACCAUAGUUCGCUUUGGAAACUGUCAAACUUGAGUGCAGAAGGGGAGAGUGGAAUUCCAUGUGUAGCGGUGAAAUGCGUAGAUAUAUGGAGGAACACCGGUGGCGAAAGCGGCUCUCUGGUCUGUAACUGACGCUGAGGCUCGAAAGCGUGGGGAGCGAACAGGAUUAGAUACCCUGGUAGUCCACGCCGUAAACGAUGAGUGCUAGGUGUUGGAUCCUUUCCGGGAUUCAGUGCCGCGGCUAACGCAUUAAGCACUCCGCCUGGGGAGUACGACCGCAAGGUUGAAACUCAAAGGAAUUGACGGGGGCCCGCACAAGCGGUGGAGCAUGUGGUUUAAUUCGAAGCAACGCGAAGAACCUUACCAGGUCUUGACAUCCCGAUGCUAUUUCUAGAGAUAGAAAGUUACUUCGGUACAUCGGUGACAGGUGGUGCAUGGUUGUCGUCAGCUCGUGUCGUGAGAUGUUGGGUUAAGUCCCGCAACGAGCGCAACCCCUAUUGUUAGUUGCCAUCAUUCAGUUGGGCACUCUAGCGAGACUGCCGGUAAUAAACCGGAGGAAGGUGGGGAUGACGUCAAAUCAUCAUGCCCCUUAUGACCUGGGCUACACACGUGCUACAAUGGUUGGUACAACGAGUUGCGAGUCGGUGACGGCAAGCUAAUCUCUUAAAGCCAAUCUCAGUUCGGAUUGUAGGCUGCAACUCGCCUACAUGAAGUCGGAAUCGCUAGUAAUCGCGGAUCAGCACGCCGCGGUGAAUACGUUCCCGGGCCUUGUACACACCGCCCGUCACACCACGAGAGUUUGUAACACCCGAAGUCGGUGAGGUAACCUUUUGGAGCCAGCCGCCUAAGGUGGGAU